GUAAAGUGGUUUGAACCCCACAGCCAUGGCACUAGCGAGCAGGGUCAUCAGAGCUGCUCCAUUCUUCUGGAAGCUGCAGAGAAAGGGAGCCCGGAAACCUGGUAUGCCGGCAAAAAGGGCUGGAGUGCAAUGACACGAUCUUGGCUGACUGCAACCUCUGCCUCCCGGGUUCAAGCAAUUCUCCUGCCUCAGCCUCCUGAGCAGAUGGGAUUACAGUUUAUAAUCAGGUAUAAGUCUCUUGGGGAAUCUGACCUCAUACCUCAUCUAUGCAGUUCCUGUACAAGGUUCCUGACCUGUGAUCAGCUGACACCACCCAGAUGGAUAAACUGGCUCAUCUGACUUGCGGCCCCCACCCAGGAUCUGACUCGGUGAAAGAAGACAGCUUUGACUCCCUGUGAUUUCACCCCUGACCAAUCAGCGCUCCCAGCUCACUGGCUUCCCCCGCACCCACCAAGUUUUCCUUAAAAAUUCUGCUCACCAAAUGCUCAGGAACAUUGAUUUGGGUAAUAACACAAUUCCGGUCGCUUGCAAAAUUAAAAAAAAAUCUAAACAGUA
rnacentral:lncRNA from 1 species